AGUGAACGCUGGCGGUAGGCCUAACACAUGCAAGUCGAACGGCAGCACAGUAAGAGCUUGCUCUUACGGGUGGCGAGUGGCGGACGGGUGAGGAAUACAUCGGAAUCUACUUUUUCGUGGGUGAUAACGUAGGGAAACUUACGCUAAUACCGCAUACUACCUACGGGUGAAAGCAGGGGAUCUUCGGACCUUUCGCGAUUGAAUGAGCCGAUGUCGGAUUAGCUAGUUGGCGGGGUAAAGGCCCACCAAGGCGACGAUCCGUAGCUGGUCUGAGAGGAUGAUCAGCCACACUGGAACUGAGACACGGUCCAGACUCCUACGGGAGGCAGCAGUGGGGAAUAUUGGACAAUGGGCGCAAGCCUGAUCCAGCAAUACCGCGUGGGUGAAGAAGGCCUUCGGGUUGUAAAGCCCUUUUGUUGGGAAAGAAAAGCAGCAGGUUAAUACCCCGCUGUUCUGACGGUACCCAAAGAAUAAGCACCGGCUAACUUCGUG
rnacentral:rRNA from 1 species